rnacentral:rRNA from 1 species
AUCGGCCACAUUGGGACUGAGACACGGCCCAAACUCCUACGGGAGGCAGCAGUAGGGAAUCUUCGGCAAUGGACGAAAGUCUGACCGAGCAACGCCGCGUGAGUGAAGAAGGUUUUCGGAUCGUAAAACUCUGUUGUUAGAGAAGAACAAGGAUGAGAGUAACUGUUCAUCCCUUGACGGUAUCUAACCAGAAAGCCACGGCUAACUACGUGCCAGCAGCCGCGGUAAUACGUAGGUGGCAAGCGUUGUCCGGAUUUAUUGGGCGUAAAGUGAGCGCAGGCGGUUUCUUAAGUCUGAUGUGAAAGCCCCCGGCUCAACCGGGGAGGGUCAUUGGAAACUGGGAGACUUGAGUGCAGAAGAGGAGAGUGGAAUUCCAUGUGUAGCGGUGAAAUGCGUAGAUAUAUGGAGGAACACCAGUGGCGAAGGCGGCUCUCUGGUCUGUAACUGACGCUGAGGCUCGAAAGCGUGGGGAGCAAACAGGAUUAGAUACCCUGGU